UCCGACCUCAGAUCGAACGAGAAUACCCGCUGAAUU
rnacentral:rRNA from 1 species